UGUGUGUCAUCAGUGUGUUUAUCACCUGGCAGGUGAGUUUCUGAGCCGAAUGGUGAACAAACAGCUUCCAGCAGUCAGUCAACAUAUCAGUCCAAUGCUGAAACAGCAUGAAAAGAGCCUGGGAGGAAAUCAAACAGCUCUGAGGCAGAGACCACAGUAUAUAUACCUGAGCAGGUGUCAUGUUAAGUUGUAUUGAGUUCUCGCUGCAGACAUGAUGACUUCAAAGAUCGCCCUGACUGUUGCCCUGGCAGCUGGAUUGCUCCUGCUUUCUGUUACUGAUGCUCGACCUGCCGACAGCACUGAUGCCGAAAGUACUGGAGCACAAGAGGAUGCGGGAAUGUCCAUCGACGGGUUGUUCCAGGGGCUGAAGCAGUUUUUGAA